GCAGCCGAGGGAGGCGGCUGAGGCGGCGGCGGCCCUUUAUUGCCGCCCACCCGGCUCCGCGCCCCCUGCGGUCGGGGGCUGGGGGGGUCGGCGCCCGCUCUGCCCUUGACCCCGCUCACUGUCCGUGGCCCUCCCGCCGCCCGGAGGCCCAGACUGGAGCUCACCUCCUUGAAAAGGUAGAUGUACAAUACUAACGCCGCGGGGAAUGUGUUACAGUCAGAUGGUGCUGGGGGCGUCUGAGAAGCCCGAAUUUGUAAAUAAAUAAAAGGGGUACUACCCCCCCCAAUCCAAUGCUCUACUAAAAAAAUUAAACUGGACAAAUAGCCUUCUUGUGUGUGCGGUAUUCAAGAUACCUGGAAUAGGACAGAAAGGUUUUACUGCUACGGGAUUCCUAUUGCAUCCAAAAUGGAGGACCUACCAAUACUGCAGGAAUCCAUUCAAAACUUUGAUGUUCCUUAUAAAAUGGGCUACGAUUCAAAAGAUCUUUAUGAAUGCUGGGAAUAUGUGCACCUUGAAAUGAAAAGCAAACGUAAUAUAGUCAUCCCUUGGUCAAUGCCUGACUUGUCUGGAGAACAGCAUAACCUGUUUUUCGCUGUGAAAAGCCUCCUGAUUCCAGAGCUCAACAAAGACAAUGUGCUUUUUGGAAGGAAGCCCUGCAAGAAGCAGUGACCUAGAGCUGUGGCACCGGACCAGGGUGGCCUCGGGUAGGAAAAAGCAGGGUGCCUCUGCCCUAAACAUGGUGUACUUGGAGAACACUAAUUUCCACCCACAUAGCUAAUUACAGCUUGCCAUCACAGAGCAUUUUAUUCAAGGAUCUCCAAGGACUGAAGAGAAAACAGCCUUGUCAGUCAAGUGUCCUUGUUGCCAUAUGACAAAAGACAGAGAAAUAUACAUAUCAAGCAACCCCAUGCAUUAUAUGUACAAAGCCAUGAUGCCAUGAUUAGCAAACAUCUCGACUAUGAGGUACACUGUAUAUACAUGACUGUAGUUUAAAAUGCUUACACCUCAAGAGUUCAACAAGUUAAAGAACAUUUGCUAUGGAAGCCUUCAUUCUUGAUUUUAAAAGAGUAUUAAUGUGUAUUGAAUCAUCUUGGGGGGAAUUAAGAUGCAAAUUCAACCAUAUUCACGCCAAUUUUCCUUAGUCCAUUCCUACCAACACAGUAAAUACAACAGCGCCUAUGUUCAGAUCAAAAUCACCAGAACCAAAGAGGUGGAGAUACCACUGUAAUGACUCAAACUCUCUUGUCAGAGACAAGAAACACAAUAAAAUAUUACUUGGAAA